ACCUGGCUGACUAGGUCGGUAAAGCGUGGGACUCUUGAUCUCGGGGUCAUGAGUUCAAGCCCCAUGUUGGGUG
rnacentral:tRNA from 1 species